CCUACGGGAUGCACCAGUAGGGAAUCUUCGGCAAAGGGCGAAAGUCUGACCGAGCAACGGCGCGUGAGUGAAGAAGGUUUUCGGAUCGUAAAACUCUGUUGGUAGAGAAGAACGUUGGUGAGAGUGGAAAGCUCAUCAAGUGACGGUAACUACCCAGAAAGGGACGGCUAACUACGUGCCAGCAGCCGCGGUAAUACGUAGGUCCCGAGCGUUGUCCGAAUUUAUUGGGCGUAAAGCGAGCGCAGGUGGUUUAUUAAGUCUGGUGUAAAAGGCAGUGACUCAACCAUUGUAUGCAUUGGAAACUGGUAGACUUGAGUGCAGGAGAGGAGAGUGGAAUUCCAUGUGUAGCGGUGAAAUGCGUAGAUAUAUGGAGGAACACCGGUGGCGAAAGCGGCUCUCUGGCCUGUAACUGACACAGAGGCUCGAAAGCGUGGGGAGCAAACAGGAUUAGAUACCCCAGUAGUC
rnacentral:rRNA from 1 species